GACGAACGCUGGCGGCGUGCUUAACACAUGCAAGUCGGACGGAAAGGCCCUGCUUUUGUGGGGUGCUCGAGUGGCGAACGGGUGAGUAACACGUGAGUAACCUGCCCUUGACUUUGGGAUAACUUCAGGAAACUGGGGCUAAUACCGGAUAGGAGCUCCUGCUGCAUGGUGGGGGUUGGAAAGUUUCGGCGGUUGGGGAUGGACUCGCGGCUUAUCAGCUUGUUGGUGGGGUAGUGGCUUACCAAGGCUUUGACGGGUAGCCGGCCUGAGAGGGUGACCGGCCACAUUGGGACUGAGAUACGGCCCAGACUCCUACGGGAGGCAGCAGUGGGGAAUAUUGCACAAUGGGCGGAAGCCUGAUGCAGCAACGCCGCGUGCGGGAUGACGGCCUUCGGGUUGUAAACCGCUUUCGCCUGUGACGAAGCGUGAGUGACGGUAAUGGGUAAAGAAGAACCGGCUAACUACGUG
rnacentral:rRNA from 1 species